rnacentral:rRNA from 1 species
GAUGAACGCUGGCGGCGUGCCUAAUACAUGCAAGUCGAGCGAACAGACGAGGAGCUUGCUCCUUCGACGUUAGCGGCGGACGGGUGAGUAACACGUAGGUAACCUACCUAUAAGACUGGGAUAACUUCGGGAAACCGGAGCUAAUACCGGAUAAUAUUUCGAACCUCAUGGUUCGAUAGUGAAAGAUGGCUUUUCUAUCACUUAUAGAUGGACCUGCGCCGUAUUAGCUAGUUGGUAAGGUAACGGCUUACCAAGGCAACGAUACGUAGCCGACCUGAGAGGGUGAGCGGCCACACUGGAACUGAGACACGGUCCAGACUCCUACGGGAGGCAGCAGUAGGGAAGCGUCCGCAAUGGGCGAAAGCCUGACGGAGCAACGCCGCGGGAGUGAUGAAGGUCUUCGGAUCGUAAAACUCUGUUAUUAGGGAAGAACAAACGUGUAAGUAACUGUGCACGUCUUGACGGUACCUAAUCAGAAAGCCACGGCUAACUACGUG